UCAGGAUGAACGCUAGCUACAGGCUUAACACAUGCAAGUCGAGGGCAGCAUGGGAUAGCUUGCUAUUCAGAUGGCGACCGGCGCACGGGUGAGUAACGCGUAUCCAACCCUCCUGCCAGUAGGGAACAGCCCGGCGAAAGUCGGAUUAAUGCCCUAUGUUCUUCAAUGCGGACAUCUAAGUUGAAGGAAAGAUUCAUCGCUGGCAGAUGGGGAUGCGUCCGAUUAGCUUGCCGGCGGGGUAACGGCCCACCGGGGCGACGAUCGGUAGGGGUUCUGAGAGGAAGGUCCCCCACACUGGUACUGAGACACGGACCAGACUCCUACGGGAGGCAGCAGUGAGGAAUAUUGGUCAAUGGGCGUAGGCCUGAACCAGCCAAGUAGCGUGCAAGGAUGACGGCCCUACGGGUUGUAAACUGCUUUUAUGCGGGGAUAAAGUGCGGCACGUGUGCCGCUUUGCAGGUACCGCAUGAAUAAGGACCGGCUAAUUCCGUGCCAGCCGCCGC
rnacentral:rRNA from 1 species